CCUACGGGGGGCUGCAGUGGGGAAUAUUGGACAAUGGGCGAAAGCCUGAUCCAGCCAUGCCGCGUGUGUGAAGAAGGCCUUCGGGUUGUAAAGCACUUUCAGUGGGGAAGAAAGCCUUGGGGCUAAUACCCUCGAGGAAGGACAUCACCCACAGAAGAAGCACCGGCUAACUCCGUGCCAGCAGCCGCGGUAAUACGGAGGGUGCGGGCGUUAAUCGGAAUUACUGGGCGUAAAGCGCGCGUAGGCGGUCUGAUAAGCCGGUUGUGAAAGCCCCGGGCUCAACCUGGGAACGGCAUCCGGAACUGUCAGGCUAGAGUGCAGGAGAGGAAGGUAGAAUUCCCGGUGUAGCGGUGAAAUGCGUAGAGAUCGGGAGGAAUACCAGUGGCGAAGGCGGCCUUCUGGACUGACACUGACGCUGAGGUGCGAAAGCGUGGGUAGCAAACAGGAUUAGAUACCCGGGUAGUC
rnacentral:rRNA from 1 species